rnacentral:rRNA from 1 species
UACAGAGGGCUCAAGCGUUGUUCGGAUUCAUUGGGCGUAAAGGGUGCGUAGGUGGCGACGUAAGUCGGGUGUGAAAUUUCGGAGCUUAACUCCGAAACUGCAUUCGAUACUGCGGUGCUUGAGGACUGGAGAGGAGAGUGGAAUUCAUGGUGUAGCAGUGAAAUGCGUAGAGAUCAUGAGGAAGACCAGUGGCGAAGGCGGGUCUCUGGACAGUCCCUGACGCUGAGGCACGAAGGCCAGGGGAGCAAACGGG